CUCAUGGAUUUGUUCUCAGGAAUGACAUUUUUCGAAGCUGUACAGCUUAUGUGCAAGGCAUCGUUGGAUUCUUCUGCGGCAAUGUUCGAUGACUUUUUAACCAUGAAUGCAAACAACGAGGAGGAAGUUGAGGAGACAAAAGCCAAAUUAAUGGAGUGUCAUGUGAGGGUUUUCAAAGAAUAGGUGGCGUGUCGUGCUGCCCCCUGCUGCGGUAACCAUUACUGCGACAACCAGUAUUGCAAUUUGCAUUUCAGUCCAAUAAAUCUGAAACGUAAAAGCGAUAGUG